UGCAACAAGCUUUUCUCUCCAACAUCUACC
rnacentral:piRNA from 1 species